UACGUAGGGUGCGAGCGUUAAUCGGAAUUACUGGGCGUAAAGUGUGCGCAGGCGGCCGAGCAAGUCGAGUGUGAAAGCCCCGAGCUUAACUUGGGAACUGCGCUCGAAACUACUUGGCUAGAGUGUGGCAGAGGGAGGUGGAAUUCCACGUGUAGCGGUGAAAUGCGUAGAGAUGUGGAGGAACACCGAUGGCGAAGGCAGCCUCCUGGGCCAACACUGACGCUCAUGCACGAACGCGUGGGGAGCAAACAGG
rnacentral:rRNA from 1 species